GACGAACGCUGGCGGCGUGCUUAACACAUGCAAGUCGAACGGAAAGGCCCUGCUUUUGUGGGGUGCUCGAGUGGCGAACGGGUGAGUAACACGUGAGUAACCUGCCCUUGACUUUGGGAUAACUUCAGGAAACUGGGGCUAAUACCGGAUAGGAGCUCCUGCUGCAUGGUGGGGGUUGGAAAGUUUCGGCGGUUGGGGAUGGACUCGCGGCUUAUCAGCUUGUUGGUGGGGUAGUGGCUUACCAAGGCUUUGACGGGUAGCCGGCCUGAGAGGGUGACCGGCCACAUUGGGACUGAGAUACGGCCCAGACUCCUACGGGAGGCAGCAGUCGGGAAUAUUGCACAAUGGGCGGAAGCCUGAUGCAGCAACGCCGCGUGCGGGAUGACCGCCUUCGGGUUGUAAACCGCUUUCGCCUGUGACGAAGCGUGAGUGACGGUAAUGGGUAAAGAAGCACCGGCUAACUACGUG
rnacentral:rRNA from 1 species